AUAUAUUAGAUCCCUAUAUUAUAUAACAUAUAAUAUUAUAUGUAUUGUAUGAUCCCUACAAGAACGCUGCAGUGAGCUCUGAUGGUACCACUUCACUCCAGCCUGGGUGUCCAAGAGAGAACCUGUACCUAAAAAAAAAAAAAAGUAACCAGAGCUUGUGGAUCAGAGACUCGAUCACAGAGGGACAGAGUAUAAUACUUUCUGUAUCUGCUCCAGGCUGGGACCAUGCCUUUCCCAGGCUUCUGCUAGAGGAAUUUGGAAGAACUACAUUAGAUCCGUUAGAAGCUCUGAGGCAAGGGCAUUGCAUAAGCAGAAAGAGAGUGACAUCUCAGUUUGUUGUUUAAACAGUAACUGUGGCUAAGUGAAGUGUGUUUGACACAAACAUGGUGCUCCUUAAAUGCUUAAUGAAUGAAUGAGCACAUGAAUGAAGACUAAGACGAUGUUCCCGACUCUUACUUUGGCAGCUGUGGUAAGCUCUUAGGCUGUCUCUGGCAAGAUGUUCCACUCAGUGUCCCCUGCAGGGUGAUGCCAUUUGACUUUGGACAAGUCCUUUACUCUUUGAAUCCAGUGAUGUUGACUGUGGGUAGGGAAUGCUGAUAUGGUAAUACUGAUCCUGGUAUAGUGAGGGCUGGGUGAAUAGCCCUAAGGAAGAAAAUAAGUAGGCCAGGCG
rnacentral:lncRNA from 10 species